UUGACCUCGGAUCAGGUAGGGAUACCCGCUGAACUUAAGCAUAUCAAUAAGCGGAGGAAAAGAAACCAACCGGGAUUGCCUCAGUAACGGCGAGUGAAGCGGCAAGAGCUCAAAUUUGAAAGCUGGCCCCUUCGGGGUCCGCGUUGUAAUUUGCAGAGGAUGCUUCGGGUGCGGCCCCUGUCUAAGUGCCCUGGAACGGGCCGUCAGAGAGGGUGAGAAUCCCGUCUUGGGCAGGGUGCCCGUGCCCGUGUGAAGCUCCUUCGACGAGUCGAGUUGUUUGGGAAUGCAGCUCUAAAUGGGUGGUAAAUUUCAUCUAAAGCUAAAUACCGGCCGGAGACCGAUAGCGCACAAGUAGAGUGAUCGAAAGAUGAAAAGCACUUUGAAAAGAGAGUUAAACAGCACGUGAAAUUGUUGAAAGGGAAGCGCUUGCGACCAGACUCGGCCCCGGGGUUCAGCCAGCACUCGUGCUGGUGUACUUCCCCGGGGGCGGGCCAUCGUCGGUUUGGGCGGCCGGUCAAAGGCCCCAGGAAUGUAUCGCCCUCCGGGGUUGUCUUAUAGCCUGGGGUGCAAUGCGGCCAGCCCGGACCGAGGAACGCGCUUCGGCACGGACGCUGGCGUAAUGGUCGCAAACGACC
rnacentral:rRNA from 1 species